CCUGUGUUUAAAAGACAUGCAGAAUCUCUGGAUUUCGGCCCAGCAGCCCUACUACAGCUCAAUCUGUUUCUGAACCACAGGACAGGAGAUAAAAGCCAGAGGAAAGGAGGAAAAAAGGCCCUCUGGAGCAAGUAGGGCUCCUGAUAUGCCCAAGAGCAGGCAUCCAGUAUGAAAUCUCUGAAGCUGUUCACUGUCAAGUACUAUUAUUAUUGCAUGUUGCCUAUCACAUAUUGUCAAAUACCCAUACUACUGCAUGUCAGCUAUAAUCAAAUACAGUCAAAUAUUAAAGAGUAUUGCAUACCGGUUGUCAAGUACAAAAUACCAUUGCUCACAAGUGAUUAAAGAUACUGAAAUCAAAUAUAAUUAGGUGUCUAAUACAGAUAUCAAACAUCCAGUGCAUUGCCAGGAAAUAUCUGAAUAUCCUGAGAAUAUCUAGUGAUUAUUUUGCAUUGACAUUCUCAGAGGAGAAUUUGGAGGAGAUAUUUUGGAGCAAAUUGGUUUCAGUUUUAAUAGUUUUCCUAACCUCAAAUCCAGCACCAUAUUCUGAGGCAGGUUACAACCGCAACACAUGGGGUGCAGGAGAACAAGAUUUCCAUGUGUGAAACUGAAGAGAUGGAAUUAAGCCUUCAAAAUUAACACUAAAAAAACCUGAGAGACUUCUGUGAACUCCUGUAGCUAUGACAACUGGCUGCCGGGGAGACCUGCAGCCAUGGAGCCAUAUUAGAACUCCAGCUGCUUGUAGCAGUGAAUCCAAGAAGAGGAAAUGCAUCAAGCACGUGGGUCCCUGGGAGAAGCCACAUUUGCCCUCAGCCCUCCACACACGUGCCUCACUCCAGGUUAUUCAGUUAUCUUCAUAUUCAUUCCCACAGGUAUAUGUUUAAUCUGCCUGUCAACUUAUAAUAAAAAUUUGACUGUUCUACCUUGA